UUCCGGUUGAUCCUGCCGGAGGCUACCGCUAUUGGAGUUCGAUUAAGCCAUGCGAGUCGAGAGUCCUCGGGACUCGGCGUACCGCUCAGUAACACGUGGGUAACCUGCCCUAUGCUGGGGAAUAACCUCGGGAAACUGAGAAUAAUGCCCCAUAGCCCACUACGCCUGGAACGGUGAGUGGGUCAAAGCCCCGGCGGCAUAGGAUGGGCCUGCGCCGUAUCAGGUUGUAGGGGGUGUAAAGUACCCUCUAGCCAUCAACGCGUACGGGUGUUGGGAGACAUUGCCCGGAGAUGGAUUCUGAGACACGAAUCCAGACCCUACGGGGUGCAGCAGGCGCGAAAACUUGGCAAUGCGAGAAAUCGUGACCAGGGAACUCCAAGUGCGUAGGGUAAGACCUACGCUUUUCUUGACUCUUCAAAGGUCUUGGAAUAAGGGGUGGGUAAGGACGGUGCCAGCCGCCGCGGUAAUACCGGCGCCUCAAGUGGUAGUCGCUUUUAUUGGGCCUAAAACGUCCGUAGCCGGUCUGGUGCAUUCGUGGGUAAAUCAACCCGCUCAACGGGUUGAAUUCUGCGAGCACGGCCAGACUUGGGACCGGGAGAGGUGUGGGGUACUCUCAGGGUAGGGGUAAAAUCCUGUCAUCCUGAGAGGACCACCUGUUGCGAAGGCGCCACACUAGAACGGAUCCGACGGUCAGGGACGAAACCUAGGGGCACGAACCGGAUUAGAUACCCGGGUAGUCCUAGGUGUAAACGCUGUGGACUUGAUGUUGGGGGCGCUCCGAGCGCUCUCAGUGUCGAAGCGAAGGUGAUAAGUCCA
rnacentral:rRNA from 1 species